rnacentral:rRNA from 1 species
UGAAUGAUGAAGGUCUUAGGAUUGUAAAGUUCUUUCGCCCGUGACGAUGAUGACGGUAACGGGAGAAGAAGCCCCGGCUAACUUCGUGCCAGCAGCCGCGGUAAUACGAAGGGGGCUAGCGUUGUUCGGAAUUACUGGGCGUAAAGCGCGCGUAGGCGGUUUUGCAAGCCAGAGGUGAAAUGCCUGAGCUCAACUUAGGAAUUGCCUUUGGGACUGCGAGGCUUUGAGGACUGGAGAGGUGAGUGGAAUUCCCAGUGUAGAGGUGAAAUUCGUAGAUAUUGGGAAGAACACCAGUGGCGAAGGCGGCUCACUGGCCAGUUUCUGACGCUGCAGCGCGAAAGCGUGGGGAUCAAACAGGAUUAGAUACCCUGGUAGUCCACGCUGUAAACGAUGAGUGCUAGGCGUCGGCACGCUUGCGUGUCGGUGCCGCAGCUAACGCGUGAAGCACUCCGCCUGGGGAGUACGGUCGCAAGAUUA